rnacentral:lncRNA from 1 species
AAAGUCUUUGAUGCCAAUUACAUGUGAUUGAUCAUGAUUAAAAACUAGUUUCAGAGGCUGGGGCAAAAACCAGAACUAAUUGAGCACCUUGUCUUUUUUUUAUUAGCCAAAGGAUU